ensembl:misc_RNA Metazoa_SRP Metazoan signal recognition particle RNA
GCUGGGUGUGGUGGUGCGCACCUGUAAUCCCAGCUACUCAGGAGGCUGAGGCAGGAGAAUUGCUUGAACCCAGGAGGCGGAGAUUGCAGUGAGCCAAGAUUGUGCCACUGCACUCCAGCCUGGGUGAUAGAGGGAGACUCAGUCUCAA